UUAACUCAAAUUUGUAUGGAGUUGGAACGUUUGCCUACGUUUGCCGUUAGGGGCGCUGUUCCAACUGCAUACAAAUUUGAGUGA
rnacentral:pre_miRNA from 1 species